UACGGAGGGUGCAAGCGUUGUUCGGAAUUACUGGGCGUAAAGCGCGCGUAGGCGGUUUGUUAAGUCAGAUGUGAAAGCCCCGGGCUUAACCUGGGACGUGCAUUUGAAACUGUCAGACUUGAGUAUUGGAGGGGGUGGUGGAAUUCCCGGUGUAGAGGUGAAAUUCGUAGAUAUCGGGAGGAAUACCGGUGGCGAAGGCGACCACCUGGCCAAAUACUGACGCUGAGGUGCGAAGGCGUGGGGAGCAAACAGG
rnacentral:rRNA from 1 species